GCCAGGAUGUCAGUGUUGGAAUGUAACACAUGGUUUGUCCUCACUGAAGGAAUUAUGACAUGCAGCACGUCUGCGACCCAGCAGAGGUGCAGUGUGGUCUCAUCUGUGCGAUCUCUCUUUACGGAUCUCGGUCUCUGAUAGGGGCCACCAUAGACAAACACAAUCUGAGAAGUAGUAGUCAGGGAAGGGAAACAACUGAAGCUCGCAAAAGAAUUCACCAUUCGUGGAUUGGAGUACAACACUGCGUUAUAAAGAGUUUCUGAAAUGGAUGUUGUGUGGCAAAGAAGGAUGGCAAGAUUAAAACUGACAAACCCUGCGGAUGCCGUGAUGCUAAUUCCUGCCAUCAAGGGCUACAGGAAGAAUAAUAAUUAUGAAGAAGACAGAAA